rnacentral:rRNA from 1 species
UGGGGAAUUUUGGACAAUGGGGGAAACCCUUAUCCAGCCAUCCCGCGUGUGCGAUGAAGGCCUUCGGGUUGUAAAGCACUUUUGGCAGGAAAGAAACGUCAUGGGUUAAUACCCCGUGAAACUGACGGUACCUGCAGAAUAAGCACCGGCUAACUACGUGCCAGCAGCCGCGGUAAUACGUAGGGUGCAAGCGUUAAUCGGAAUUACUGGGCGUAAAGCGUGCGCAGGCGGUUCGGAAAGAAAGAUGUGAAAUCCCAGAGCUCAACUUUGGAACUGCAUUUUUAACUACCGGGCUAGAGUGUGGCAGAGGGAGGUGGAAUUCCGCGUGUAGCAGUGAAAUGCGUAGAUAUGCGGAGGAACACCGAUGGCGAAGGCAGCCUCCUGGGAUAACACUGACGCUCAUGCACGAAAGCGUGGGGAGCAAACAGG